rnacentral:rRNA from 1 species
UACGUAGGCAGCGAGCGUUGUUCGGAGUUACUGGGCGUAAAGCGUGCGCAGGCGGUUUUGUAAGUCUGUCGUGAAAUCCCCGGGCUCAACCUGGGAAUUGCGAUGGAGACUGCAAGGCUAGAAUCUGGCAGAGGGGGGUAGAAUUCCACGUGUAGCAGUGAAAUGCGUAGAGAUGUGGAGGAACACCGAUGGCGAAGGCAGCCCCCUGGGUCAAGAUUGACGCUCAUGCACGAAAGCGUGGGGAGCAAACAGG